UACGAAGGGUGCAAGCGUUAAUCGGAAUUACUGGGCGUAAAGCGUGCGUAGGCGGUUUUGUAAGUCUGUCGUGAAAUCCCCGGGCUCAACCUGGGAAUUGCGAUGGAGACUGCAAGGCUAGAAUCUGGCAGAGGGGGGUAGAAUUCCACGUGUAGCAGUGAAAUGCGUAGAGAUGUGGAGGAACACCGAUGGCGAAGGCAGCCCCCUGGGUCAAGAUUGACGCUCAUGCACGAAAGCGUGGGGAGCAAACAGG
rnacentral:rRNA from 1 species